UACUCAAUAUAAUGUUUCAUAAUAAAAAUAAUGAAAUAUAUAAAAACUUUCAAAAACUAAUACAAUGAACACCUUUAUAUACAUAAUUCAGUUUGGGAGGCUGAGAAGUCCAAGAGCAUCAUGCCAGCCCCUCCUUGCUUCUGGUGAGGCCUUGGUGCUGCAUCCUAACAGGGUGAAAAUGCAGAGGGCCAGUGAGAGUGUGUGGAUAAAGCAAAACAGGAGGGGCACUGACCUCUGAAGCAACAAGGCCUUCUGUCUUCUAGAGUUUCACUUUCUGGAUUUGACUUGUGAUGGUGUUUUCAGUGAAGUUUUGAAGAAGGAUAAAAAAACCCUGGAACUUGAGCUGGAGCCCCUGGGCUGUCCCAAGGCACAGACCUACUGCCUAGAGGGUGUGAGGGAGGAAGGAAACUCAAAAAGAAGUCUAAUAAAACUACUCCUUUAAUCUUGACAUCAUCUGGAGCAUACAGUCAUCUAUACCAAAAAGAGAAACUUGGGCACUUCUCAGAGUAAGCGUUUCUGCACUGUUAAUGUGGUUUGGAGUCACCCUAUCAAGCUGGUAUGACCAUGAAUAAAGAAGAUGAGCUGCUAAGGAAGAGGUUGAGGGACAGCCGGUGUUUGUUUUAAGCCAAUUUUCUAUAAUCCCUGUCACUAGAAACAGAGGGCCAGUGGAUAAAGCAUGAAAUCUGUGUUUAAAGCCAAAGGUGUGGGUUCUAUUGCUGAUUUUGUCAUCAUUUUGACCUUUUAGGAAAGAGAUGAAAUGAAAAUGUUUGCCUUGUAUCUUUCUGUCCAGGAUGUAAUAGACCAAAACAUAAGAGAAAAAUGUAGGCUUCCCUAAAGUAACACAUUAAGUAAACGUCAGGUGGUAUCACCCCAAAGGUCUUCUAGCCAUAAUAAUUUCACUUGAAAUCUAUUUAUUUAGGAAACAGAAGACAGAAAGCCCUGGAGCUUCAAACUGAUACUCCUUUAAUGCACCUAUGUUAAAAUAUUUCCAGGACUGUAGGCAAAAUAAGUCCACUGGAAGAUUAAGAAAACAUCUGUGUCUACAAAUUGAGCUUCCUUAUAGUGUCAAGAUGUAUCUUCAACUAUUUCAUGUAAAGACGUAUAAGGUGGACACGGUGGUACACUUCUAUAAUCUC